rnacentral:rRNA from 1 species
UACGGAGGAUCCAAGCGUUAUCCGGAAUUACUGGGCGUAAAGAGUUGUGUAGGUGGCAUAGUAAGCGAGACAUGAAAUCGUACGGCUCAACCGUAUAACCAUGUUUUGAACUGCUAAGCUUGAGAAUGAGAGGGGUCGCUGGAAUUCCUGGUGUAGGGGUAAAAUCCGUAGAUAUCAGGAGGAACACCAAUGGCGUAGGCAGGCGACUGGCUCAUUUCUGACACUCAGACACGAAAGCGUGGGUAGCGAUCGGG